GGCAUCUCCCUUGUUCUCGCUCCUCCGAGGAUCCGGACUCACACUUCGGCUGCCCAGGACUUUGGGGCUGGGGUUUUGCGGAUCGCCGCCUCCCCCCGCACCGCGGGAGGCCGAGGGAGCGAUUUCUCAGUUCCCGCCCCCCCCCCCCCCCCCGCAUUUCCAGCCGGCUUUCAAACCGGGAGAAGUGAGGGGAGCUUUGGGGGAGACCCGCCCAGCGCCAUCUCUGCUCCGUGGCCGUUGGACACGCGGGGGGAUCGGCGGGAGACGGACCCACAGAUACUCGGGCAGGUAUUUGGAGAGCGGGCCGGCCCGGCGUGCAGGGAGGAGGCCAGCGAGGCAGACGGGCUGCGGUUCUGCAGGGCGGUGCAUAUGGAACAGGCACUGCGUUUCCCCAGUAAGAGGCAGCACAAACGCCUUUCUGGAGCGCGGCACCGCUUCCCUGCGAAUGCGCCGGGAUCUCAGGCAGGAAGGGGCUUCAGCGUCGCAUUGGGGAUAAACUUUUAGCCUACACUUUCUUUGGCUUCUUCUCUACGCCUCGAGGUGAGCAGAAGUUUCUGCUUUGUCACCUCCCAUCUGGAGCAACAGUAGGCGUGGCUGGAACUGGCGUCCCUGGAGUCGUGCUCGGACCUACAUCAACAGGUGCAUGUGAUUUCUUCGGCUCCCUCUCCUUGCCAGCUGAGCUUGACUCGCCCUCUCCCUCGCCACGAUGCCUUCUCCACGAACCAGGAUUCACAACAGCAAAUUGAAUUUUGGAAUGUUUUGUCACUCCAACACAAAAACAGAUCACUAGCUAAGAGGACGUCACCUCUGCAGUCAAUGCGCUGAAUGUAGACCCAUGGAAUCAAUUCUGAGGUCUUCUGGGGAAGAGUAUUUUCAUUAGGAAGCAUGUGGAGAGAAGCAGUAGAGGAGGGCAGGCGUGUACUGGGUCCCUACGAGAGGAAAGCCAUGGCAGUUCAAAGGCUUUCCUGGUCUUUGCUCAAUAUCAGCUUUACGUCUCGCAUUCUCAUUGCACUUGUCCCAGAUGAGCACAGCUGGAUUUGCCUCCUGGUGGUGUGAGGUCUGGAGCUGGAGGCCCAACAAACCAUUCCUUGGCUUUGGCCCAGAGGACAAGAAGAGGGAAAGUAAGAAGAGCAGAGUUGGCUGUUUCCCCUCUUAUGGCGGGAGGAGACAAUGAGAGGAGAACAUGUCAGGGCUGCAGCCACCAGGAAGUGUCGUUGAACUGACCUAUGUAGAGUGUCAGCUAACCUUGCAGACAGAGCUACAGUUCUUUUUCUCCCUCUCCAUCUCAGAUCUGCUUCCUGAAGGUAAACCUAAAAUAGAGCAGCGUCUCCCAAAGUAUAGUCUGUGGGAGUGAAUAGAUAUUACAUACACAAAAGUUACCACGGCCAAAGUUGGAGAAACCCUGAGUGUGUAAAGCAGAGCUAGAGUUCCUUGUUGCAGGGCUUCUCAGAGCCUUUAAACAUACUAACUUGGAUAGUAAAACCACCAUUGGCAGAUAUACUGGGUAGCGGCCCUGAGAAUCCACGGAGAAAAGGCUGACCUAAGACUAAGCAUUUUAUUUUUCUAUUCUUAACUGAAUAAAGGGAUGGAUUCCAUGGAUCCUACAAUGAACAUUUCAGCAGAGCAUUCAUGCUAUAGACACUGGGAACUGGGUUCUGGUGAUUAAGUGGAUACUAGGGUUUCAAGCAGAAUUUUGCCAGAUGAGCAGAUAGUCGAACUCCAGGCCCAGCGUUUGCCCCUUGUCCUCCCAAGACGGCAGGGAGGUUCUUAGGCAGGAGUGAGGUCCAGACAGGUGUAUAUUUUCUCAGGUUCCUCAAUGGUUCUGGUAUGUUUCCCUGGUUAAAAACCACUGGUGCUGUGGGAGAAGUUCGGUUUUAGAGGCACAUAGAUGUAGCUCUGUCACUUACCAGCUAGGGGGUCUUGGGAAAAAUCACCUUAUGCUUCAGGAUCACCAGUGAUAAAAUGAGGGGCUUGGUCAAGAUUGGUGAUUGUAAACAUUUUAUUUUAUUUUAAAAGAUUUUAUUUAUUUAUUCAUGAGAGAGAGAGAGAGAGAGGGAGAGAGAGGCACAGACCCAGGCAGAGGGAGAAGCAGGCUCCAUGCAGGAAGCCCGAUGUGGGACUCGAUCCCAUCCAGGAUCACGUCCUGUGCCCAAGGCAGGCGCUCAACCGUUGAGCCACCCAGGUGGCCCUGUAAACAUAUUUUAAUAUGUUUGUGGUGGAGUUCUUUAUUCAGAUGAAAUUUUACAUGAGAUUCUAACACACAGGACAGAUGCAAGAAGGACUGUUCUGCUCGAAGCUAUGAAAGGGCCCAGAGCCUUGCACUUUUGGUUUGUCUGACCCUCACCCCUGGUUUUGGCCUGGCUUCCCUGGAAAACAGAGCCUGAGGCAAAAGCUGAUGUGGGAACACUUUGUUGAGGGGGGAAAUCCCAGAGCAGCAAGGAAAAAGGGGGGAGAUGUAGGGAAGGAACAAAAUGACAAAUGUACAAAGAAUGCAUCACCCAGCCAGCUAGAGAGUCCUGUGGAAGCACAACAGGUGGCUCAUUACCUAGAGAAGCCUGAGGGAACACAGUCUCAGAAGAGUCUGGAGGGCAGGCACAGUCAGCACUGUGCUGGGCCCUUCUUGUGAGCUGCAGCCCCUUGGGCACCAGUCCCCCCUUGAGGCAGGGGCUCCCACCCACUUUGGGGUUGUGAUGCUUGUGCAAACCAGAGCUGUCCAUGGUCAGGCCCAUAGGCUGGGGCUUCUGGGACUCCUCUCACUGUGGGCCCGCUGGAGCCUGGCCUUUGCCUGGAAGGAAGAAAGCUUUCGAGAACCUUAGGAGUCAUGUGAGGUGUUCCUGAGGCCACUCAGGCUAGAAGUGCGAUAACUGGCUGAAGACACAGCUUUGGGGGUGAGGGUGGGGUUUCAGGGAAGACCUGGGUGGCAACAUAAAUUGGGGGUCUGGGCUACUUGUUUCCAUAUAAGAAACAUAUCAUAUCUUUAGAAUAGAAUCAGCUGGAACAGACUGCUCCAGUGAGGCAUCAUUCAGCCCUCAGAAGUCAUGACCCCAUGGCCACGAUGGCCGUCCACACUGUGGGCUACCCAGUGUAAGCCUCCAGUAGGAGCUGCGUUAAGAACAGGUUCCAGUUAGGUCUCAAGAGGCUUUCCUGACGUUUAGAGCUUAUUCGCCAAAGGAGUGCCUUCCACCCGGCCAUGUGUGGAUACCUCAGAAACUUCUGUGUGUCGGCUGAGGGGCAUGGCUGCUUGGAAGCUGUGGUCAGAGGCAACCGACCUCUGCCUUUCUCUUGGUUUUAAGAAAUAUUGUAAAUAUUGAAAUAUAAGACAAAAAGGGGGCAUUUUUGCAUAAAAUACUUUGUAUAAGUCAUCACAUCCAGCCAGCACCCCUUCCUUUUUACAACUCCUGUGUUUUGAAGCCCCUCCAGGGUCAGGUGGAGCAAAGGAAUGAUGGUUGGGCUGUGCUUGUGACCUCUUUCCCCGCUCUCUUCACCAUUAGAUACUGACCCCUGUCUUUCUUCCCUAAAUGCACUUGCCUCUAACCGCUGAUUGAUGUGAGCCAACUCACUGACUUCGAGACAUGUGUCUGCAUUAGCAUGUCUGCCUGAGAUUUCUGGCUCCCGAGGGUCAGGCCCAGCCUCUCGUUGAAGUGUCUCUUGUGUAAUCAGAACUUAAUUCAUACUUUUAAAUAAUGGUAAAGAAGCUGCUGCUAGCAGUAGUGAUGAUGACAAUAGCAUUGAAAUUAUUUAUUUCCUUACGUCUAUAGACGAGAGGUACCAAUUCUUACUUUUCUUGUGUACUUGGUGCUCCACCUAGGGCCUAUCAUACUGGAAGCAAUCAAUAAAUAUUUGCUGAGUAAAUAGAAUGAAUAAAUGGAGGAGGAGAAGGGGGAGAUGAAUGGCCUAUAAAGACAGAACUAGAGGCUGGUGAACCAGCUGCUAUGGCGAGUGCCUGAUCUCUGGCAGGGGCAGGGUUGACCCACAUCAGGGCAGGUGGCUAUUACAAAGGGUAAGACAAACGAGGACGAGUGCUGGCCAAGCCCAUCAGUCACCGUAGAGCGUCCUGGGUUCUGGUGGUUCAGGGGCAGGUGGUCUAUUGACAUUGACACACAUGGAAUCGAACUCUUGCUUUCCAUGUAAAACCCAUUGUGGUUUUAGGUGCCAGGAGUUUGGGAGGGAUGACCAGACUGCACUUCCCAAAUCAUUCCAAAGACUGAUUCCUCCAUGGAAAAAAACAUCUGUGGCCAAGUAAGCCUUACAAACACCUUAUGGUCUGUCCUCCUCUUGGAGAUUCGAGAUGUACAUUAAAGGCAUAGGAGUCCCGCUGUAGACACACCUGUUCAGUUAUUCUUAGCCAACCGUUUUUCAGCUUAUUUGGUGGUAGGUAUUUAAGCCAAUCAACAACUCCUGGAAUAGUGCCUUGCACCAUCCCCCUCCCUGGCCUGGCGGCCCCUCCCCCUCCUUAGCAGGGGCAGGCUAAGGAGCCCGGUGCUCUCCCUUCCUCCCAUGCACCCUCAUGCCCAUUUGCACAGCUGCCCAGGUGCCCUCAGUAGUGAGGGUGGGCGUCCCAGGGAGGGGGUAGCAGGACCUGUCCCUGUAUUUAUUUAAAAAGUGAUGAUGUAAUAUAUUGGGGUUGGGGGAGGUCCCAUUGCCCUGGGCCUCAUCUUAGCAUUUCAGGGGCUGGGGGAGCCUGGGGCUGGGGAGACCAGGGGCCUAGCCCCACAGAGUGAGGACAAUGUGACCUCCCCCUCUCCCCUUGCGGCUUCUCCACUCAGUGAUUGG
rnacentral:lncRNA from 1 species